rnacentral:rRNA from 1 species
GACAGAGGGUGCAAACGUUGUUCGGAAUUACUGGGCGUAAAGCGCGUGUAGGCGGCUAUGCAAGUCGGGUGUGAAAUCCCACGGCUCAACCGUGGAAGUGCACUCGAAACUACGUAGCUGGAGUUCUGGAGAGGAAGGUGGAAUGCUCGGUGUAGAGGUGAAAAUUCGUAGAUAUCGAGUGGAACACCGGUGGCGAAGGGCGGCCUUCUGGGGCCAGAA